ACUUUAUUUAUUUUCCACCUCAGAGUCUGAUGGUGUUGUGCUGUUCUCUCUCCAGUCGUAUCUCCUGUAUCCUCUACAUCAGUCCUAGUAGGAGUGGUUGUGGGUCUGCUUGUUGCUGGUGUUCUAUUGGUCAUUCUCCUGGUCCUGCUGGUGAGAUAUCAAAACAGAAAAGGUUCCUGUUUCAACAGAACAUUCUGGCCCCCUCAGUCCCGGAGCACCAACCAGGACCCCCAACAGGAUCAAGGAUCUGGGUAUACACAUCAGCAGCAUGGUGACACUAACAUCUACGAUACGAUCAACCCCUCAGACAACAAUGAUAAUGAUUCUGCUGGUGCUUCUGCUGCUGGACCAAGUCAUGUGACUUACGCCCAGAUUCAACUGAAGAAAUUGGACAAGAAAAAGAAAG